UCUUUUAUGAUAAAGUCAAAUUUUAUGUGUGAGGUUAGUAGUUAUAAGAGAAAGGAUCCUCUACAUGCAUCUAAAUAAUAGAGUCUGUUUUUGCCUUCAAUGCAUCCAAUCAUAUUUUCUUUAUUCUAGUGUUGAAAGUCAUAGUGAGAAGAGUAAAAUAUUAUUUUGUAGUUCAAGUCUUGUGAUAAUUUGCUCAUUGAUACAAG
rnacentral:lncRNA from 1 species